rnacentral:snRNA from 1 species
GUUCUUGCUUGGACAGCACAUAUACUAAGAUUGGAACCAUACAGAGAAGAUUAGCAUAGUCCCUGUGCAAGGAUGACACGCAAAUUCAUGAAGCGUUCCAUAUUGUU